rnacentral:rRNA from 2 species
UAGGGAAUCUUCCGCAAUGGACGAAAGUCUGACGGAGCAACGCCGCGUGAGUGAAGAAGGUUUUCGGAUCGUAAAACUCUGUUGUUAAAGAAGAACAAGGAUGAGAGUAACUGCUCAUCCCCUGACGGUAUUUAACCAGAAAGCCACGGC